rnacentral:rRNA from 1 species
AGAAUCAACGCUGGCGGCGUGCCUAACACAUGCAAGUCGCACGAGAAAGGGGAGCAAUCCCUGAGUAAAGUGGCGCACGGGUGAGUAACACGUGAAUAAUCUACCUCCGAGUGGGGAAUAACUGAGAGAAUCUUAGCUAAUACCGCAUAACACUUACGAGUCAAAGCAGCAAUGCGCUUGGAGAGGAGUUCGCGGCCGAUUAGUUAGUUGGCGGGGUAAUGGCCCACCAAGACGAUGAUCGGUA